GUGCUUGCUUCGGCAGCACAUAUACUAAAAUUGGAAUGAUACAGAGAAGAUUAGCAUGGCCCCUGCACAAGGAUGACAUGCAAAUUCAUGAAGCAUUUCAUAUUUUU
ensembl:snRNA U6 U6 spliceosomal RNA